UAUAUUUGUUAUAUCCCUAGUGAUCAUAACUUUAUACUCAAAUAUCACUUAAGUCACAGUCUCUAGUUACAAUCCUUAAUAAUCAUAACCCUAAGUUUUGAUAUCACUUAUAUCAUGCCUUAGUCACUUAUGUCACAGUCCUAACAUGAUUAUAACCUAAGCUCUGAUACUAUUCUAUCACAUCUUGAGCCCAACAUCC
rnacentral:lncRNA from 1 species